AUUCAUAGCCAAAGUAAUAGUAUUUGUAAAGAAAUGACCUCAUGGAAGGCCUUAUUCUUGCAUAUUGGCAAGGCUGUCACCAUCUAGCUGGUAUUAGACAGUGAUCUGCACAAGAACAGUC